rnacentral:tRNA from 1 species
GUGGCUGUCGUAUAGUGGUUAGUACCUUCGGUUGUGGUCCGAAAAACCUGGGUUCGAUUCCCAGCAGCCACA